AAAUUGAAGAGUUUGAUCAUGGCUCAGAUUGAACGCUGGCGGCAGGCCUAACACAUGCAAGUCGAACGGUAACAGGAAACAGCUUGCUGUUUCGCUGACGAGUGGCGGACGGGUGAGUAAUGUCUGGGAAACUGCCUGAUGGAGGGGGAUAACUACUGGAAACGGUAGCUAAUACCGCAUAAUGUCGCAAGACUAAAGAGGGGGACCUUCGGGCCUCUUGCCAUCGGAUGUGCCCAGAUGG
rnacentral:rRNA from 2 species